rnacentral:rRNA from 1 species
AACGAACGCUGUCGGCAUGCCUAACACAUGCAAGUCGAACGAGACCUUCGGGUCUAGUGGCGCACGGGUGCGUAACGCGUGGGAACCUGCCCUUAAGUUCGGAAUAACUCCCCGAAAGGGAUGCUAAUACCGGAUAAUGUCUUCGGACCAAAGAUUUAUCGCCUUUGUAUGGGCCCGCGUUGGAUUAGCUAGUUGGUAGGGUAAAAGCCUACCAAGGCGACGAUCCAUAGCUGGUCUGAGAGGAUGACCCGCCACACUGGGACUGAGACACGGCCCAGAAACCUACGGGAGAGAGCAGUGGGGAAUAUUGGACCAUGGGAGAAAGGCUGAACCAGCCAUGCCGCGUGAGUGAUGAAGGCCUUAGGGUUGUCAAGCUCUUUUACCCGGGAUGAUAAUGACAGUCCCGGGAGAAUAAGCCCCGGCUAACUCCGUGC